UACGGAGGGUGCAAGCGUUAUCCGGAUUCACUGGGUUUAAAGGGUGCGUAGGCGGUUUGAUAAGUCAGUGGUGAAAUCAACGGGCUCAACCUGUUAACUGCCAUUGAUACUGUUGAACUUGAAUUUGGUAGAGGUAGGCGGAAUGAUGCAUGUAGCGGUGAAAUGCUUAGAUAUGCUUCGGAACACCGAUUGCGAAGGCAGCUUACUAUGUCAAGAUUGACGCUGAUGCACGAAAGCGUGGGUAGCGAACAGG
rnacentral:rRNA from 1 species